rnacentral:lncRNA from 10 species
AGGCAGAAUAUGAUGGAACCUGCAUUUGGCACUCUAUACUGGCUUGUGAAUCCUGUUCCCAUAAGUACUGGCAAUAAUAAAAAUACAUUUAUAUGGUAUAUUUCAUAGUCUUUCAUUUUUUUCCAAUUUUAAUACAUCUUCUGUCAAUUAUCUGAAUUAAUUAGGUGAGACAUCUUUUCAGUGUUUUCAAUGCAAGUUGUACAAAGAAUUCCAUAUGAAUUUAAAGAGUUGCUGUAAUAGCAAAAAUAGAUGUGAAAGUCCACGUUGUUUUUAGUCAGUUAUAUUCUCCAGAAAGCUAAGCUGAAUUCCUGCGUGAGCAGCCAUUAGAUAGCAAGGAUCUAUAGUUAUUCUUGGCAAGCCCAAUAGACAUGGCAGGUCCAAACCUGUGAAAUUAGCUUCUUUAAUGGCAUUUCUCGAAUCUAAAAAAAGUAAAACAGUUUUUGAACUGCUUUGACAAUAAUGGUGCUAUUGAGGUAGUGUUUAUAUAGCCAGGGCCUGGUUCCAUGGACCACAAUAACCAAUCUGUACCCAAGAUUUGGUCCUCAAUAUGAGCUGGAACAAGCCAGUGACUAUGUUCUUGCCACAUUGCAGAGUGCCAAUAUAUUUAUUUACCACUUUUUUUCCAUAAAUGAUUUAAAUUAGCUUACAAAUCACAAAUAGUGAGUCAAGAUGAAGGGAGAAUAUGGGUAAAACAUCAAAGUCAUUGUGACAAAUGCACACAGACAUGCAUGUUGGAGAAUCCUAUGCAGUGGCUAGAGGUGGACCUCAAUUUUGGCUUUAAGUUGCCUAAUAGCAAGUGAGUGAAAGAAAGGGAGAUAACGAGACAAAGAGAGAAACACACAGUGAGAGAGAGAGAAGGGAAAGAAUAAAAUAUGCUGAAUUAUUUAAUCAGUUUCCAUAAAAAUUAAAAUCAGGCAGUUAUUCAGAAUGUAGGGUUAUUUUUCUGAGACCUGAACUGGAUGACAUGAAAUGUGGGGUAGCAGACAAUGUCCUUGGCAGCAUCCUAAAUUACAGGAAAUACUGAAUUUUACAUAAUGCUCAUAGCAUUUCUCAAUGAAGCCAUUGGUUAAUGAGGAAGGCAAUUCUGCAACAGUUUACACACUUAACUUGAUUUCAGUCAGCACACUGCAUAGAAACUGACUUCACUGAAGUCUCAUUUUAUUUUCUUGAAGUCUCUUUUCUUAGAAUGAAAGUCUAAGAGAUUAUUUUUGCAAUUGGCUAUUCCUUCAAUACAUGGUGAAUCAGAAUCUCUUGUUAAAAUACAAUUAGUAUGAAAAAAUAUUGAAAAUAGAUAGUGAAGGUCAGUAUGCAUUCUUUAUCCCUGGGAGUAGUAUAAAGCAUAUAGUAUAAACCAUGAUUUCUGUUAAUUGGUUUACUUUAAUUAAUCUGUAUUUCUCACAGUGGUUUUUCAUCUCAUUUUCAUUAUUUUACCUGCAUUUCAGAAUUUAAUGAAGAACUGAGAAAUGUUAAAGAUGCCUUCCAAAUGAUGAUGCUCCAUGCUCAUUUUCAGCUGUAUUUUACAGAGAGCCUUUUCUGAUGCUCAAACUACAGCAUUUGGUGUAUUUCCCACAUUAAGCAGUGUCUCAUCCGUUUCCAUCUGUGGAAUGGGAGGAAAUGUGGCUUCUGAGCAAAAACUGAGACACAUGCCCCUACCUAACUACAAGCGUGGCUGAGAAAAGAAGAGAAGCACAAGGAUAAUGCUUUUGGGUCCAAAGGAAGGAGACUCUGUAUUUUCUGAAGGCCACACUGCGCCUCUCCCAAGGUAUAAAGGUAAGUAGUACCUUUGUGUCUUCC